CGCUAUCAGACAAGGUUCGGAGCAUGGGAUGACACCAGUGUAAGUGGCCUGCAGUUGUUUCGUCUGGAAAAUACACGGUCAAGACCAAACAAGAACAUGUACCAGUCGAAAUUUCAACAAGGAAAUACAAAUCAAUGGGAUUGCUCUGUGCUUUUUGACGCAAUUCUGUACUCCAACUCGAUUGGUAAAUCAAGUCUUAAUCCAACAAUUAAGACUGAAGUGGAUAAUAUUCGAAAUAUGCGAAAUAAAAUUAUGCAUGCUGACGACACAACCCUAUCUGAUGCUGACUUCCAAACCAUGAUCAGUGAUGUCGAAAAGGCAUUUAAAUCCCUCAGUCUUCCAGUUAGUGAAAUAACGCAAAUGAAAAUUAAGAGAAACCUUUACAAAUCAUUUCAUGUUUUACCUCCAAAGCCAACCCACGAAGUUGUUCACCGUUCUGAGAAGGUUAAGGAAGUAAAACAAGAACUCGAGAGGUUGCGCAUUGAUAGCGACGGCAAACUCACAUAUUUUUACAUUUCCGGAAGUCCUGGAAGUGGAAAAUCGCAGCUAUCCCGGCAACUUGGCGAGGAUUUGCUUAAAAGCGCAAGUUGGGAAGCAGAAGCAACAUUUGUAAUGACAUUGAAAGCAAAAGAUU